UUUGCUGGUAUUUCAAAUUCGCAGUUUGCAAAAUAUCACCGGGCCUAAUUUAAUAACGAGUUUUUACUUAACCGAAUACGCUUAAUCAUUAGGUAAAAAUUCUCUGUGAAGUUUUUGCUCUUAAAAGAAGAAUUCUAGGUAGGUUAUUCAGCGAAUCGCUUCAUCCGAUUCGAAAUAAAAGGAUGAAAUGAGACGAGUUGCUAUACAACGAAGGUUUUUCCAUCUUAACUCAUACACUUGCCCCUCGAGUCUGACGCUGUAUAUACGCAGCUUUUACUUCUUUGUCGCACACUAACGACCUGAUGCUAACGUCUUUCUAUUUCACUUUAAAUUGACGUUAAAUUUACAUUCGAUUCCUUUAUGUUAGGGUGGGCUCGGAAAAGUACGAGGGUCUAACAGACUUCAAAGGAUAACGUACUACUUCGCGAGCCAAAAGAAAUCUAAUAAAGGGGAAGUCAAAGGACUUGGAGUUUAUUCAACAACUUUAUUCGAUUGAACAUAAUUUAAAAUUUCAUUAUUAAAUUUUUUAAUUUACAGAAAAAAUAUUUUUCCCUUUUUCUUUUUUUUUUCUACGAAUCACAAAUCAAUUUCUUCACUAUAAAAAAAAACAUCAUUGUUUUUGUUCAUUGAACAUUGAACAUUGAUAAGAAGUUACGUGUCUACAUUGCUGUACAAACUCGAUUUUAAAUUAUGAAUCAUUGACUUCAUAACUUAAUAAGACCUUUGUAUUUAGAAUGAGUGAAGUUUUAAUAAAUAAAAAAUAAAUCAACUAUUACAAUUAUAUUAAUCUUCUUCGAGUUUCAAUGAGUAAAUAGAGAUUCUUCUGAGGAAUUCAACUAAAUUAAACAAGUCACUCUUAUAGCUCCAUCCCAGUUAUUUCACUUGGUAAAGGCUAAAAAGGAGCAAGUUGAUUUGAAGCCUACGUAAGCUAAUGUCAUCUCGAAGAAAGAUAUAGUAAUUCACAGUUGUAAUAAUCAUAAUCGAGAUAUAAACAGCUUCUGAAAUUAUUCUACGGCAAUGAUUAUCAGCAGCUUCAAGUCAUGUGAGGACCCAUUAACAUUUUUCACUGAACACACAUGAUUGUUCCAUGACUGAUCGCUUGAAAAACAAACGCCAAGACACUUUACGAUGUUGGCGUAGGGAAGAGGAAUACCAUUUACAAUAAUAGAUGGAAGCGCUACAAUUUCAAGCAAUUUUAGCUUACUGCUUUAACUCAAGACCAUGACUUAUGUCUUAUGUAUUGCUGUAAGAUUUUAAUUUAAAACAUUUCUUCUGUUCGAUCGACAAUCUGUACAUCGAUGGUGACCAAGCAAUUUGUUGUUGAAUGCAAAAAAAUUGAAAUUUAAGUAAGUUUAUUUGAAAAAUCGAUAACUUUGAAUAAAGAAAUACUUAGAAAUAUCAUAUAUAAUGAAUAUGGAGAGUAAGAGAAAAACUAGUCGCAUCGUAUAUGAUGUUUUUUCGUCGAUUUUCGUUGACAAAAUCAAAAUUUUGUCAUUUUGGAGUUUUUU